AAAAGAAAAAAGAAAAAGAAAGGGGGGAGGAAGGUAACCAUCGAACUUUCAGGUUUAGCUAGCAGUACAAAGAAGAGUAGCAGGAUGAACAGUGAUAUGCAAAUUGGUUCUCUGAAGAGAAGCACUUGCUGUGGCACUAUUGCUGCCACCAGCUUAUGUUCCCUAGAAAUUUUAUGAUCCAGGGCCAAAAACAUUUUGAAGAAUUUCAAUUGUUAGGGCUAAAGUCCCAGCACCCGUUGCUUCUCAUUAGAGAGUCAAGCCAACAUUUGUUUAAUCAAAAGGAAGCCAGACUACCAUGCUGCGUUCUGCUUUCUGUUAACCAUAAGGCACCAUCACUGAGGAGUCUGAAUCUGUAGGGGAAGAUGAUCUGGAACAAGAAUUGACAAGAGAUGGAGAGGCCAGUUCCAUUGGCCUUGGAGGAAACUGGGGAAGGGCAGAGUCAGUCCAGGCAAGGGAGAGCUCAGGAGAAGAGCAAGGACUACCCCCUCCUGAUCUGAGAGCAAGAAGGGAAGAGAGACAACGAGAUCAAUGCAGAUUGAGCCGGCUAUGAGGGAAGAGAGUGCCCCACCCCCUUUCACAAGACACACCUGGGAACUAAGAGGUAAAGAGGUGCCGAUGGGAGGGGCAUUUGUCGGGAACAAGCGUUGAAUCUGUGGAGCCUUGUGUGCACUUGCCAAAGCCAUCUUCCUUUUCAGGAAAUAUAUGUACUAACUAAAUAAAUAGAAAUAUAGAAUUAACCACACAGUGGUUAAAAGAAAUGAGUUCUGGAAAGUAAAAUUUCAAUAUCUGACCCUCUAUUAAAUGACAAGACGACUAUAUUUUAUUUAUGUUGUAAUUCAUUGAUAAGUGGAAAUACAGCAUGAUUGAUAUUGAUAUUUAUUUUAUUUAAUGUGCUGAGUGUCUAGUAUAAUAUUAUUUGAGGAAUAUACAAGUAUUCCUGAGGUUACAGCAGUUCACUUAAUGACCAUUCAAAGUUACAAAGGCACUUUAAAAAGUGACUUAUGAUCAUUUUUCACACUUAAGACUGUUGCAGUAUCCCCACGGCUAUGUGAUCGAAAUUCAGACACAUAUCAACUGACUCAUAUUUAUGACGUUUGUAGUAUCCUUUUGACAAGCAAAGUCAAUGGGGAAGCCAGAUUCAUUUAACAACCGUGUUACUAACAAACUGCAACAAUUCACUUAAUAACUGCGGCAAGAAAGGUCAUAAAAUGGGGCAAAACUCACUUAACAGUUACAGUGUAAAUAUUGCAAUUGACAAGGUGAUUCCUGUAGAGGAACGUGGCAGAACUCAAUCACAAUCUGGGUCUAAAUGCAGUAGCAGAAAGCAUCUAUUAGAAAUUGAAAACUAGCAUGUACUUUCAAAUAUGUCAUUUUACUAAAUGGCAUGUAUCAAAAGGGCUAUUUUAAGGUUGUUUAUAUCGCAUAAAAAACAACCCACAAAAUUAUAGGCAUUGUAGUGCAAAGUAUUAUGUGGACACAGCAGUGGUUUUCCACUAAAAUGUUUUGCAUUAAAACCUCAGAUUGGAUACCUAUGGUCUAUCUCUAACAUUUGCGGGAUUUUUUAAAAAAUAGCUUACAUUUUCUCAGCUUUACAUUGAUUUUUUUUUAAUGGUAUGUUGGACAGCAGAUUUCAUGUCACCAAAAAUAUUUACAGUAUGCUGUAAAAUAUUGCUUUAUUUUAAAAAAUGUGUGACAAAUGACUUGAUUUUUUUCUCCUGCUUUAUAUUUUUAUAUAUUGUUUCUGAAUCUUUAUGGCAACUUGUUCUAUGGGGUUGCAGAUAUUUUGAACUAAACAAAGUAUUUAUUAUUCCAUGCUUACUAUCAAAAAACUGUUUUGUGAGAUUAGCAGGGGUAAUAAAAAUCAAGAUGGUGAUCACAACCAUCUGAUCAAGGCUACACUUUUUAAAGUGUAUUUUGAGUUAUUUGAUACCACUAGAAAUUACUGACAUGAAAUUUAUGUGUUUGUGUGUAUGUUGGUGUAUCUUUUUUAUUGGAGUUAAAUAAAUUUUAACUCCAAUAAAUUAGAGGAAACAACGUGAUGCCAAUAUAAAAAAGAAUGGACAAUGUUUUUCCAUGUUUGUCCAUAGAUGUUUUCUACUAUAUAAUUUUAUGAUAUGACUUACCUUUUUAAAAGAUUUCCCACCAUCCUCUCCACUUUCUAGCAAGAUCUCUUCUGAUUUGUUCUACCUGCUUUCAUGGAAGUCUAUCAUAAAUUGGCUGCCAAAAUCCAUCCAUCAUUAGAUAACAGCAAUUCUGUGAGCCCUACUUCAUCUGCUAUUUUGUGGGGUGGAACUUGGAGGCAGUAUGAUAGCAUGCAGGUGGGACGCCGAUGUAGCUAGCCUUCAAGCACUCUGUGAAUUGGUGAGGUAGAAUGGUUUGGGUGGAAAGAAAAUGCACAAGGCAAAAUGAGUGGCUGAGCCCUGAAGAAAGCUUCCAAAGAGUCUUUGUUCUUUUUUUUGGUGGGUCCUUCCCCGUUGCAACACUCCACCUCUUCAAAAAUGAAGGUGCUUACUACUUUUGUAGGUAAAUGGGGAAAAAGGAUGAAGAUCCAGUAUAACCAGGGUAUUCCUUAGUAGAGUUAAUUAAAUAUUUGCUUCUAGAAAGCAAUUUUAUUAUUUUUUCAGUAAAACUCUUUCUAUCCUGCCAGGGACAAACAAAAUAACUUCUGUGUGACCUGCAUAAAUUGCUUCACCACUAUGGACAUCUAUGGCAGACAUAAAACUGAUUUAUCUCAUUUCUCUAAUGAGGUAGAACAAUUAUCCAAGUUUAUACUUAGUGUGAUCAAUGAUAGUUAGAGUAUCUAAUACUUUCUUUUUAAAUACUAUCAGGAGUCUUUAGGAUUGUUGCCUCUGUCUUUAAAUAUUUAAUUUAAAGUUUCGGAACUGAAGCAGCCAAAGUAGUUCUGUUACAUUUUCAUUCAAUUAAGUUUGCCUAUGUUUUAAUGGAACGACUAUCAGCUUUUUUAUCAACAAUUCCUUCAUGUUUAUUAAAUAAACACCUAUAUAUCUAUACACA